rnacentral:misc_RNA from 1 species
CAACUGACAAGGAUAAGGUUAAUUCAACUGCCAAUGUUUCAGAUACUGCUGGAAAGGACCAUGAGUUGAAGGUGAAAGAAUGCAUAGACAAGAGUGCAGCUUGUGAUCCUGAUCAGGAUGAUCCAAAUAUGGGGCAGCUGAUUGAUGUUCAAGAACAGGCUGCUUGUGUUGAACAGCUUGGAAGAGAAGAGACGAAGGCCAUAGAACAGAACUCUGAAACAGUUUGUGCAAGCAGAAAAAAAGAUACCUUAUUAAUUGAUGGAGAGCAA